CCUACGGGAGGCAGCAGUGAGGAAUAUUGGUCAAUGGACGCAAGUCUGAACCAGCCAUGCCGCGUGCAGGAAGACGGCUCUAUGAGUUGUAAACUGCUUUUGUACGAGGGUAAACGCAGAUACGCGUAUCUGUCUGAAAGUAUCUUACGAAUAAGGAUCGGCUAACUCCGUGCCAGCAGCCGCGGUAAUACGGAGGAUUCAAGCGUUAUCCGGAUUUAUUGGGUUUAAAGGGUGCGUAGGCGGUCGGAUAAGUUAGAGGUGAAAUCCCGAGGCUCAACUUCGGAAUUGCCUCUGAUACUGUUCGUCUAGAGAGUAGUUGAGGUAGGCGGAAUGUAUGGUGUAGCGGUGAAAUGCUUAGAGAUCAUACAGAACACCGAUUGCGAAGGCAGCUUACCAAGCUACUUCUGACGUUGAGGCACGAAAGCGUGGGGAGCAAACAGGAUUAGAUACCCUAGUAGUC
rnacentral:rRNA from 1 species